rnacentral:rRNA from 1 species
GAUGAACGCUGGCGGCGUGCCUAAUACAUGCAAGUCGAGCGAACAGACGAGGAGCUUGCGCCUCUGACGUUAGCGGCGGACGGGUGAGUAACACGUGGAUAACCUACCUAUAAGACUGGGAUAACUUCGGGAAACCGGAGCAAAUACCGGAGAAUAUAUUGAACCGCAGGGUUCAAUAGUGAAAGACGGUUUUGCUGUCACUUAUAGAGGGAUCCGCGCCGCAUGAGCUGGUUGGUAAGUUAACGGCUUACCAAGGCGACGAGGCGUAGCCGACCUGAGAGGGUGAUCGGCCACACUGGAACUGAGACACGGACAAGACUCCUACGGGAGGCAGCAGUAGGGAAUCUUACGCAAUGGGCGAAAGCCUGACGGAGCAACGCCGCGUGAGUGAUGACGGUCUUCGGAUCGUAAAACUCUGUUAUUAGGGAAGAACAAAUGUGUAAGUAACUAUGCACGUCUUGACGGUACCUAAUCAGAAAGCCACGGCUAACUACGUG